GACGCACUGUCCUAACGUUGUUCGGAAUCACUGGGCUUAAAGGGCGCGUAGGCGGUCCGACAAGUCGGGGGUGAAAUCCUGCAGCUUAACUGCAGAAGUGCCUUCGAUACUGUCGGUCUGGAGGGAGAUAGGGGUGUGCGGAACUUCCAGCGGAGCGGUGAAAUGCGUUGAUAUUGGAAGGAACGCCGGAGGCGAAAGCGGCGCACUGGAUCUCUUCUGACGCUGAGGCGCGAAAGCUAGGGGAGCAAACGGG
rnacentral:rRNA from 1 species